CCCUGAACUCCGACGAAAGCCUUGGCAAAUAUGUGAACUUGGGCGACGAAAUGGUUGAAAAUACGACCUGACCACGACCAUCUGGCAACGUCGCAGGCUCUCAUCUCGCUGCUGGCUGUGACUGGCUCCGCGGGCUGCAUCACCGAAGACAAGGCUCUCUAUCAUGCCUCAUAUAGACUAUCACGAAUAUAUGCACACAUGACAAAACACAUUAUCUCGAGGACGCAUGCAAAGGUCACGGUGGGCACUUACAAUACUGGUACCGGAUUCAUCAAGACCUGGUGUUGGUAAGUCUUCUGAUAACUCCAUCUGUGCUAUGAACGCUCUUGUGAUCUUUAGGUGACUCCAGUGGCAAGGAAUGGAAGGACGACCAGGCCAGGUUAGGUUAGGUUAGGUUAGGUUAGGCAGCCCUUUCUUUAUUCGUUGUCAUAGGAGCCGACUAAAGACAAGGGUCGUUCUUAGAGGUUAGGUUAGGUUAGGUUAGUCAGCCCUUCAUUCAUUGUCACCGGAGCCGCCUAAGGACAAGGGUCGUUCUUAGAGGUUAGGUUAGGUUAAGUUAGUCAGCCCUUCAUUCAGUGUCAUCGAAGCCGCCUAAGGACAAGGGUCGUUCUUAGAGGUUAGGUUAGGUUAGGUUAGGUAGCCCUUUUUUUUAUUCUCAUCCGAGCCGCCUAAGGACCAGGAUCGUUCGUAGAGGACAGAUUUACUAAAAGACUUACUAACGACAGGUCUUGUAAGUGGGUUGAUGAAUCCGGCCCCUGUGUCUUAGGGUGUAAGGAGAACAGAAUAUUGUAACAGCGAAUACAGAAGACAAUUUACCUUUAUCUUUCCUACUCUUCCACGACUGACUGACUGAGCUCUCUACCUACACACCCUCUUCUCCUUGAUCCAGUAAGUAGCCAGAGGUAUACAGACUAAUGUUAGAUUAAUUUACACUUAAUACUCAGUAAUAUAUAGUUAUGUAAUAAAAUUAAUUGCUCUGAUAUUCACACUAUAUUGCGGGUUCACAUUGGAAAUAAGUGUUUAUAUAGACUUUCAUGUGUCAUUCUCAGUAAACUACAUGAGCCGUUGGGGAUUACAAGGCCGCGGGCACCGUUUUUUGGAGGAGCGAGAAAAGUACUGUCCAAUUUUUUUUUUUUUUUUUUUUUUUUUUU